rnacentral:rRNA from 1 species
GACGAACGCUGGCGGCGUGCCUAAUACAUGCAAGUAGAACGCUGAAGAGAGGAGCUUGCUCUUCUUGGAUGAGUUGCGAACGGGUGAGUAACGCGUAGGUAACCUGCCUGGUAGCGGGGGAUAACUAUUGGAAACGAUAGCUAAUACCGCAUAAAAUUGAUUAUUGCAUGAUAAUUAAUUGAAAGAUGCAAUUGCAUCACUACCAGAUGGACCUGCGUUGUAUUAGCUAGUUGGUGAGGUAACGGCUCACCAAGGCGACGAUACAUAGCCGACCUGAGAGGGUGAUCGGCCACACUGGGACUGAGACACGGCCCAGACUCCUACGGGAGGCAGCAGUAGGGAAUCUUCGGCAAUGGGGGGAACCCUGACCGAGCAACGCCGCGUGAGUGAAGAAGGUUUUCGGAUCGUAAAGCUCUGUUGUAAGAGAAGAACGGGUGUGAGAGUGGAAAGUUCACACUGUGACGGUAUCUUACCAGAAAGGGACGGCUAACUACGUGCCAGCAGCCGCGGUAAUACGUAGGUCCCGAGCGUUGUCCGGAUUUAUUGGGCGUAAAGCGAGCGCAGGCGGUUAGAUAAGUCUGAAGUUAAAGGCUGUGGCUUAACCAUAGUAUGCUUUGGAAACUGUUUAACUUGAGUGCAGAAGGGGAGAGUGGAAUUCCAUGUGUAGCGGUGAAAUGCGUAGAUAUAUGGAGGAACACCGGUGGCGAAAGCGGCUCUCUGGUCUGUAACUGACGCUGAGGCUCGAAAGCGUGGGGAGCAAACAGGAUUAGAUACCCUGGUAGUCCACGCCGUAAACGAUGAGUGCUAGGUGUUAGGCCCUUUCCGGGGCUUAGUGCCGCAGCUAACGCAUUAAGCACUCCGCCUGGGGAGUACGACCGCAAGGUUGAAACUCAAAGGAAUUGACGGGGGCCCGCACAAGCGGUGGAGCAUGUGGUUUAAUUCGAAGCAACGCGAAGAACCUUACCAGGUCUUGACAUCCCUCUGACCGCUCUAGAGAUAGAGUUUUCCUUCGGGACAGAGGUGACAGGUGGUGCAUGGUUGUCGUCAGCUCGUGUCGUGAGAUGUUGGGUUAAGCCCCGCAACGAGCGCAACCCCUAUUGUUAGUUGCCAUCAUUCAGUUGGGCACUCUAGCGAGACUGCCGGUAAUAAACCGGAGGAAGGUGGGGAUGACGUCAAAUCAUCAUGCCCCUUAUGACCUGGGCUACACACGUGCUACAAUGGCUGGUACAACGAGUCGCAAGCCGGUGACGGCAAGCUAAUCUCUGAAAGCCAGUCUCAGUUCGGAUUGUAGGCUGCAACUCGCCUACAUGAAGUCGGAAUCGCUAGUAAUCGCGGAUCAGCACGCCGCGGUGAAUACGUUCCCGGGCCU